rnacentral:rRNA from 1 species
AUGGGGUGACUGCGUACCUUUUGUAUAAUGGGUCAGCGACUUAUAUUCUGUAGCAAGGUUAACCGAAUAGGGGAGCCGAAGGGAAACCGAGUCUUAACUGGGCGUUAAGUUGCAGGGUAUAGACCCGAAACCCGGUGAUCUAGCCAUGGGCAGGUUGAAGGUUGGGUAACACUAACUGGAGGACCGAACCGACUAAUGUUGAAAAAUUAGCGGAUGACUUGUGGCUGGGGGUGAAAGGCCAAUCAAACCGGGAGAUAGCUGGUUCUCCCCGAAAGCUAUUUAGGUAGCGCCUCGUGAAUUCAUCUCCGGGGGUAGAGCACUGUUUCGGCAAGGGGGUCAUCCCGACUUACCAACCCGAUGCAAACUGCGAAUACCGGAGAAUGUUAUCACGGGAGACACACGGCGGGUGCUAACGUCCGUCGUGAAGAGGGAAACAACCCAGACCGCCAGCUAAGGUCCCAAAGUCAUGGUUAAGUGGGAAACGAUGUGGGAAGGCCCAGACAGCCAGGAUGUUGGCUUAGAAGCAGCCAUCAUUUAAAGAAAGCGUAAUAGCUCACUGGUCGAGUCGGCCUGCGCGGAAGAUGUAACGGGGCUAAACCAUGCACCGAAGCUGCGGCAGCGACACUAUGUGUUGUUGGGUAGGGGAGCGUUCUGUAAGCCUGUGAAGGUGUGCUGUGAGGCAUGCUGGAGGUAUCAGAAGUGCGAAUGCUGACAUAAGUAACGAUAAAGCGGGUGAAAAGCCCGCUCGCCGGAAGACCAAGGGUUCCUGUCCAACGUUAAUCGGGGCAGGGUGAGUCGACCCCUAAGGCGAGGCCGAAAGGCGUAGUCGAUGGGAAACAGGUUAAUAUUCCUGUACUUGGUGUUACUGCGAAGGGGGGACGGAGAAGGCUAUGUUGGCCGGGCGACGGUUGUCCCGGUUUAAGCGUGUAGGCUGGUUUUCCAGGCAAAUCCGGAAAAUCAAGGCUGAGGCGUGAUGACGAGGCACUACGGUGCUGAAGCAACAAAUGCCCUGCUUCCAGGAAAAGCCUCUAAGCAUCAGGUAACAUUAAAUCGUACCCCAAACCGACACAGGUGGUCAGGUAGAGAAUACCAAGGCGCUUGAGAGAACUCGGGUGAAGGAACUAGGCAAAAUGGUGCCGUAACUUCGGGAGAAGGCACGCUGAUAUGUAGGUGAAGNUGGAGCUGAAAUCAGUCGAAGAUACCAGCUGGCUGCAACUGUUUAUUAAAAACACAGCACUGUGCAAACACGAAAGUGGACGUAUACGGUGUGACGCCUGCCCGGUGCCGGAAGGUUAAUUGAUGGGGUUAGCGGUAACGCGAAGCUCUUGAUCGAAGCCCCGGUAAACGGCGGCCGUAACUAUAACGGUCCUAAGGUAGCGAAAUUCCUUGUCGGGUAAGUUCCGACCUGCACGAAUGGCGUAAUGAUGGCCAGGCUGUCUCCACCCGAGACUCAGUGAAAUUGAACUCGCUGUGAAGAUGCAGUGUACCCGCGGCAAGACGGAAAGACCCCGUGAACCUUUACUAUAGCUUGACACUGAACAUUGAGCCUUGAUGUGUAGGAUAGGUGGGAGGCUUUGAAGUGUGGACGCCAGUCUGCAUGGAGCCGGCCUUGAAAUACCACCCUUUAAUGUUUGAUGUUCUAACGUUGGCCCCUGANCGGGGUUGCGGACAGUGUCUGGUGGGUAGUUUGACUGGGGCGGUCUCCUCCUAAAGAGUAACGGAGGAGCACGAAGGUUGGCUAAUCCUGGUCGGACAUCAGGAGGUUAGUGCAAUGGCAUAAGCCAGCUUGACUGCGAGCGUGACGGCGCGAGCAGGUGCGAAAGCAGGUCAUAGUGAUCCGGUGGUUCUGAAUGGAAGGGCCAUCGCUCAACGGAUAAAAGGUACUCCGGGGAUAACAGGCUGAUACCGCCCAAGAGUUCAUAUCGACGGCGGUGUUUGGCACCUCGAUGUCGGCUCAUCACAUCCUGGGGCUGAAGUAGGUCCCAAGGGUAUGGCUGUUCGCCAUUUAAAGUGGUACGCGAGCUGGGUUUAGAACGUCGUGAGACAGUUCGGUCCCUAUCUGCCGUGGGCGCUGGAGAACUGAGGGGGGCUGCUCCUAGUACGAGAGGACCGGAGUGGACGCAUCACUGGUGUUCGGGUUGUCAUGCCAAUGGCACUGCCCGGUAGCUAAAUGCGGAAGAGAUAAGUGCUGAAAGCAUCUAAGCACGAAACUUGCCCCGAGAUGAGUUCUCCCUGACUCCUUGAGAGUCCUGAAGGAACGUUGAAGACGACGACGUUGAUAGGCCGGGUGUGUAAGCGCAGCGAUGCGUUGAGCUAACCGGUACUAAUGAACCGUGAGGCUUAACCUU